CUGCCCUUCCCCAUCCACCGCCAAGCUGUGACCUCCCCCAGGGCGCCCAGGCACAGCACGGGAGGGAGGGCUGCAGCUGGCAGGGCCCUGGCCAGCACCCGACGUCGGCCGCGCCACCACGCUGGGCUGCCGCGCCUGCUCUGGGCCCUCUGUGCACAGCGCCGGAGCUUGCCUGAGCGGCUCUCUGUCUUCCUCCCUGUCUGCAUCUCCCUGCCUCGCUGGGCACGCUGGCAACGUGGGUUGGGGGCAGGAUGAGGGUGCGGGGCAUGGUUAGGGGCAGGCACGACCAAUGCGGAGGCCAGGCAGGCCACAAGGGCUGGGUCAGGGACGCCAGGGUGGCCUGCAGGCUGCAUGUGGCCCUCCAAGGUGAUGUUCACACCGUCCCAGGAAGGCUUGUUGUGGCCAUGUGACAGAGAGGAGCUGAGSCCCAAGAGCUCCCAUGGCUUUGCUCUGGCCAGACAGCCAGGGCAGGCACUGCUGCUUCUCCCAAGGCGCAGGGCAGUGCCUGAGCCUCACCCCCAAGCUCGGGCAGCGCAGCAGGGACGUCUCAGCAGCGGGAGGUGUGUCUGUUUUUUUUCUGCAGGCAACCAGAGCGCUACAGCAGAUCCUCCAGCAGCCGCCCUGCCUGCAGGUGCUAGAGGUGUUUUUCCCCCAGCUCUUCCUGGCGCUGCUCUUCCAGAUUUCCUUCAGUGCAGAGCUGACGCUGGSAGAGGCUGACAUCUUCYGGAGGGAAUGCCGAGGAGAAGAGUCUGCUCCCACCAGCCCCGCCAGGUGCUCCACCGCAGCCCCGCCRUCUCUGCCGUGGACCUAUAGGCAGGGCCAGGGGUGCCAGCGUGACCUGGCCUUUGCUCCGCACGCAGCAGGGUGUCAGGCAGGGCUGGUGGGAGGAAGACAGAUGCUGGGCAGGGAGCUGCCAUGCCUGCCCCAGGCGAGGAGGGCUCUGCUCGCCGUGCAGAGCAGGGGCGGUGUGGGUAGAGUAGAGAGAAGAUUUCAGGCGCCUUUGGGACAUUCCUGGCCAGCAGCUCCCAGUUGAUGCAUUUGUCCCCCCAGCUCCCUCCUGGCUGUGGGAAGAGCCGGGUGGGACUGGCUGUGUCAGGAGGS
rnacentral:lncRNA from 1 species